rnacentral:rRNA from 1 species
GUAGGUGGCAAGCGUUGUCCGGAAUUAUUGGGCGUAAAGCGCGCGCAGGCGGUUCUUUAAGUCUGAUGUGAAAGCCCACGGCUCAACCGUGGAGGGUCGUUGGAAACUGGAGAACUUGAGUACGGAAGAGGAAAGCGGAAUUCCACGUGUAGCGGUGAAAUGCGUAGAGAUGUGGAGGAACACCAGUGGCGAAGGCGGCUUUCUGGUCUGUAACUGACGCUGAGGCGCGAAAGCGUGGGGAGCAAACAGGAUUAGAUACCCUGGUAGUCCACGCCGUAAACGAUGAGUGCUAAGUGUUAGGGGGGUUUCCCGCCCCCCUUAGUGCUGCAGCUAACGCAUUAAGCACUCCGCCUGGGGAGUACGGCCGCAAGGCUG